rnacentral:snoRNA from 1 species
GAGUUAGCGAUGAUUAUAAAAAUAAUUUCUCAUUCUGACUUACUUAAUUGAACAUGACAGAUCUCUUAUUACAAUCAUAGAAUCUGAGCUCC